rnacentral:tRNA from 1 species
CAGGGAGACAACAAAAUGUUUAAUAUUAUUAUUUUGUCACCUUAGGUCGAUCGGUAUCUCACGUUCUUAAAUUAAUUAAGAAUUUCAAUUCCUAAGUUUUUCUAGGUCACACCCAUUAUUUUUCCUGGGCCAUUAGCUCAGGUGGUUAGAGCGCACCCCUGAUAAGGGUGAGGUCCCUGGUUCAAGUCCAGGAUGGCCCAUAUCUCUAUGUUGGGGGUAUAGCUCAGUUGGUAGAGCGCCUGCUUUGCAAGCAGGAUGUCAGCGGUUCGAGUCCGCUUACCUCCACUGAUUACCACCUCUUCCAUAAUCUGUAGAAAGGAAAUUUUUUGAGUUGUGAUCAAUUUCUGGACUAAUCUAGCUUCCUAAUGAAAGCAUUAAGAUGCUGGACUCAUUGAAUUAAUUUCAUUGUUUUCAGAGAGCCUUGACAACUGCAUAGAUUAUUUUUAAAGACAAUAAGCAUCUUUAAUGAUGCAGAUUUAUUAUUUGUGCAAAUGCAUUAAUAACAAUUCUAUUAAGCUGAAGCUUCAAUUUUGAAGUUAUU